CUUCCCUCUCCUGGCACGACCUCACUUCUGUCCAUCUUCUUCCUACCCCGAUCCCCUCCACUUCCUUCCUCCCGGCUAACUCCCCCGAUCCAACCUACCUGCCACCUCUCCUCCCCCCACUCCUCCCCAUGAUGGACCUCAACCCGGCCUCCGACCGCCAGGCCGGCUCUGGUGCCCCCACCUCCUUCCCCACCUUUCCCGUCCCAGAUCUCCAACGCCAGCCCCUCCGCUGGCCGGCGCGCCUCCGCCCUCCCCUUCCACCACGCCUCACCGGCCUCCUAGGGGUCCCCGACAACCCUUGUUCGUCCCCCGUCGUCAGAUCCGAGGGGAGCGCCAUGGUCGGGGCCCCCGAUCCCCGCCGCCACCAGCCUAUCACCCCAGAACGAGGCCGACGGAGAUUGCCGCCUCCAACCACCAAGGACCGGAUCUCCUGCUUCCCGCGGUUCCGCAGCCACUUUCGUCGCGCUCCGACUCUCACCCGCGUCCACCGGGAUCGACCUCCUGACUUAGCCGUGCGGUUAAGCAGCAAGGGAGGUUCGCUGGCUUCCGUCAUGCAGUUCGCCGCGCCUCCCCAUCGCUAGUCACGCAACCUCCGCCGCCGAAGUGGAGCAGUGCCACCACUGUGGCCGUGCCCAUCCGUGGGGAUGCCGUGGCCAGUGCGGCCAGGGCCUGGAGCUCGCCUCUUCCCCCGCAAGGGGCUCCGAAGGCUCCUUGUCCCGCACCCUCCUCCACCUUUCUCUGGCGCUCGCAGGACACAGCCGAUGGGUGCGGUGCCUCGAGUGGUUGCUGCCAGCGGCGCAUGCAGCCUCGUGCCCCCGCGCGAUCGGAUCCCAUCUCCACCACCUACGGCCACCAUCUGUGGUACUGCAUCUGCGGCCACGACUUCUCUCCCUCGCAGGCGACUCUCUCCCUCUUCCACCGCCGAUUUGGCCAGCGAGCGGCGCCACCGAGGUCAGCGGCUUCGUCGAUGGUGGUGCUCUCUCACACCCUCCGACGACCCCCUGACCCCCUCCCUGAGCUCUGUCCUGGCAUUUGUGCAGCUCUCUUCUUCUCUAUGUCCAAUGCAAAAAAUUCGGUUGAUGUGCAGCCCCCGAUGAUGGCUCCGGCUAUGUUCUCUCUGUUGUGCAAAAGUCCAUGGACCCGAUUGCUUUUAUGCUUUUCAUUUUGAGGGCUAUUGUAUUAAAAAGGGCUAUUUUGUACGGCUGGGGUGUGCACAUGCAGUUCGCCGGCGAGCUGCUACCGGUUGCAGCAGCACAGGCGAGCAGCCGCUUUUUCGUUUGUUUUGUCCUUUGAGGUAGUGGCGGUCGAGGACAGAGGGCCUUUUCUUUUCUAUUGCUAUUUUUAGUAGAAAAUGGUGGUUUUUUGUGUUGUGCAGUUUGCAUGUCAUGUUGGAGACGUUCAUUGCACCGUCGAUGGCAGUUUAUACUUUGUAAUUGAGAAGUGCCUACGUAAAAUUUUAGUUCAUUGUGGCACCACUAGUAUAAA